CUCAAAGCAACUUGUGAACAAGAAAUAUGCAAAAAAUUCACCAGUGACUUUCCACGGUUAAGAAGGGAAACCAAAUUUUCACAUUCUCAAUCUACGUAAAACUGGAGUACCCUUGUGUCACUGUCAUGGAUGCUACAAAGGAAAUGUUUCAUCCAGUCUAGUGGCUAUAGCAACUGCUUUCUCUUGCCUUGACUUGUCCAGGAAAUACAUCAUUUUGGCACCUGAAAUAUCAGGACAUUUCAAAGUUUGAAGGACUGUUAGUCCUUCGCACAGUAUACACCACAUUAUUAUUGUGAACCAAUUAUUCCACUGUGCUGUGUCAGCAAAGUUUUGAGGAACAAGGACAAGAAGAUCAAGAGUCUUUGUGCAAAGCUGAAGUGGAACUCUAAGAAAUGAAACAGAUCUAACUGACAAAGAUUACACUGAGUACAGUCACCAAUAUAAUUAAGGAGUAAAAAAAACUAUUACC